GAUGAAGAACGCAGCGAAAUGCGAUAAGUAAUGUGAAUUGCAGAAUUCAGUGAAUCAUCGAAUCUUUGAACGCACAUUGCGCCCGCCAGUAUUCUGGCGGGCAUGCCUGUUCGAGCGUCAUUUCAACCAUCAAGCCCCCGGCUUGUGUUGGGGACCUGCGGCUGCCGCAGGCCCUGAAAAGCAGUGGCGGGCUCGCUAGUCACUCCGAGCGUAGUAAUACAUCUCGCUCAGGGCGUGCUGCGGGUUCCGGCCGUUAAAAAGCCUUAUUUACCCAAGGUUGACCUCGGAUCAGGUAGGAAGACCCGCUGAACUUAAGCAUAUCAAUAAGCGGAGGA
rnacentral:misc_RNA from 1 species